GGCCUGAUGGUCUAGUAGUAUGAUUCUCGCUUUGGGUGCGAGAGGUCCGGGGUUCAAUUCCCCGUCAGGCCC